rnacentral:rRNA from 1 species
UACGUAGGGUGCAAGCGUUGUCCGGAAUUAUUGGGCGUAAGGAGCUCGUAGGCGGUCUGUCGCGUCGGCUGUGAAAACCCGCGGCUCAACCUCGGGCCUGCAGUCGAUACGGGCAGACUAGAGUGCGGUAGGGGAGACUGGAAUUCCUGGUGUAGCGGUGAAAUGCGCAGAUAUCAGGAGGAACACCGGUGGCGAAGGCGGGUCUCUGGGCCGUAACUGACGCUGAGGAGCGAAAGCGUGGGGAGCGAACAGG